GUGAGUUAAUGAAUGUAAAGUGCUCAGCACAGCGUCUGGCACAAGGUAAGUGUCUGGUAAAUGUCAGUUGUUUCUAUCAAGAGAGGGGAGGAAGGUAGGACAGAGGGAGGGCGGGACAGGAUGCUGGGGUCAGAUCACACCUGCCUGGAACCGACUUUGGACUUUAGCAUGUAGGUAAUGGGGACCAUUUAAAGGUUAUAAGCCAAGGCCUCAGAUUUCAUCACCUUUAGGCUCUAACCCCAUUUUAGACUAUAGACAUUGGCAAAACCUGUGGGGCAAGCUUCAUAAUGUCCACUUCACAGACGAGUCAAGUGAGGCUUAGAGAGCUUAACCUCUUCCUCAAGGCCAAUCGGCUCAUGAGCCGCAAUCUCAAGUCUGGUUUCCUGAACUCUGUGUUCUGUGCUCUUCCCUCCCACACUGCUCGCUAACAGACUGACAGACGGCAUCAUGCCAGCCUUGCCCAGGCUCCAAUUAGCAGACAAAUCAGAACUGGCUGGCAGGGCUGCAUGCCUGCUGCAGUUGUGUUUAUCAUUCAUCAGAGAAGAGAAGCAACCUGCCAGGCCGGCAAGUCAGGCCCCGUGGAGAGAAGAUUUAAGGUCGCCUAGACCAAGCCUGUUGCAACGUGGGUGGGAACUACACAAGGAGGAAGAACCAGGUGUUGGAGUGUGACUACCGCAGGCUGCAUGCUGGGAGCCAGCCUGGAAGUCCAGAGAGGGCACCCGGUCCUGAUCCCAGCCUCUGGUCAUCAUCCUCUUGAACACAAAUAUCUGUUUGCCCCUCUGAUGUGCAGGAACAGUGCAAGAGAUGGAGUCUGGCUCAAUCUCGGCCUAAUGCAACCCCUGCCUCCCGGAUUCAAGCAAUACUCUUGCCUCAGCCUUCCAAGUAGCUGGAACUACAGGUUUUGCACACAGCGAGGACUCAAGAACUGUACUUUCUGGAUGGAGCUGAAUUUCUAUGGGAACAUACUUCCCGUCUCCUAAACAGGACCAUUGUGAGCCUCCAGUGACCUCUCCUGGCCUGAGGAAGUGAAGGGGAAUCAUCCAGCCCCCUGAACAGGUACUUCAUCAUGGUGAGGAACAGGUUUCUUAUUUACUACCAGGUCUGCGAGGCUCAUGAAAUGAAGCUCAGGUAGAACACCUUCAAUGGCUGUGUCUCUACACCACACCCCAAUCUCUCCUGACGCCAACGUCUAUAAUAAUAACAGAUGAAAACAGAGAUUCACUCAUCACAUCCUGAGACAUACAAAGGAAGCCAGGCUGCCAUUUUCACUUAGAGUGUCCACAGAUUUGCAUGGGAGAAAAUUUCUAGAAAUUCUGCAGCUGUAGUCUCCUCCCUCCAAGAGUUGGUUUCCAAAGCUUGGUUUACUUGAUUUCAAACAUCUAAACCAUAGGUACUCAAGAACAGUUGUGUGUUUGGCACUUUGCUAGGGUCUGUGGGGGUAGAGAAGCCCAAGACAUGGGGUCUUAACCUUCAGUCUGGUCGUUGGCUUCAUUCCAAGGUGCUCAAAUGCUUGGUGUCUAUUUCCUAACACCUCUGUUCCUGUUUUCUGUUAUAUUCUGCUGUUGUGGGCUCUGAGGGUGACUGCCAUCCUUUGCUAAAAGACUAUUUGCUUUUAGGUAACCCCUUUGCUUUCAUUUGGGAAAGCUGUCUUUCAGUUACUGGCUGCCUGUCUGGUUUCUACCUGUAGUCAAUCAAAACACAGGAAACUAUCUGACAUGGCAUAUGAUAAGAUUCUAAAUUGUGUGACACAUAAAAUUGCCCCAGAGUCCCUGGACCACUCUAGACCUCUGAUAAUUAGCAGGGGUCCAGUUUCCCCUUAGGCUCAGAAUGGCAAACAGAUGCCACUCGGGCUGCAUUUCUCUGCCCCCAGCAGACAUGGUUAAUCCAUCUUGGUGCUUUUCGGCUGAGCCAAGGCUUGGCUUCUGACCUUUUCUCUGUGCAAAGCUGUGGGCAGCCACCAUCAAUCGAUCUGAGUUGGCACUUAGAGUAUGUAGUAGACAGCUGGUGUCCCACCCCAAUAUCCUUUCUGGGCCAUCCCCCC